UUAGCGGCGGACGGGUGAGUAACACGUGGAUAACCUACCUAUAAGACUGGGAUAACUUCGGGAAACCGGAGCUAAUACCGGAUAAUAUAUUGAACCGCAUGGUUCAAUAGUGAAAGACGGUUUUGCUGUCACUUAUAGAUGGAUCCGCGCCGCAUUAGCUAGUUGGUAAGGUAACGGCUUACCAAGGCAACGAUGCGUAGCCGACCUGAGAGGGUGAUCGGCCACACUGGAACUGAGACACGGUCCAGACUCCUACGGGAGGCAGCAGUAGGGAAUCUUCCGCAAUGGGCGAAAGCCUGACGGAGCAACGCCGCGUGAGUGAUGAAGGUCUUCGGAUCGUAAAACUCUGUUAUUAGGGAAGAAUAAAUGUGUAAGUAACUAUGCACGUCUUGACGGUACCUAAUCAGAAAGCCACGGCUAACUACGUGCCAGCAGCCGCGGUAAUACGUAGGUGGCAAGCGUUAUCCGGAAUUAUUGGGCGUAAAGCGCGCGUAGGCGGUUUUUUAAGUCUGAUGUGAAAGCCCACGGCUCAACCGUGGAGGGUCAUUGGAAACUGGAAAACUUGAGUGCAGAAGAGGAAAGUGGAAUUCCAUGUGUAGCGGUGAAAUGCGCAGAGAUAUGGAGGAACACCAGUGGCGAAGGCGACUUUCUGGUCUGUAACUGACGCUGAUGUGCGAAAGCGUGGGGAUCAAACAGGAUUAGAUACCCUGGUAGUCCACGCCGUAAACGAUGAGUGCUAAGUGUUAGGGGGUUUCCGCCCCUNNGUGCUGCAGCUAACGCAUUAAGCACUCCGCCUGGGGGGUNNNNNNNCAAGGUUGAAACUCAAAGGAAUUGACGGGGACCC
rnacentral:rRNA from 1 species